GCUCCCAGCAACUUCAGAAGCUAAGAGGUCUGUAGUUCUGACUGUUCCACCAGCUUCAGUGUCUUCCAUCGCGUCGACAUCAUCACAUGUUUGAUUUGUCUGAGACUGACAAUAAGCUUCCGGAUGAACCAUCUUAGCCUGCUCGUCCACCUCUCCUACACCACCUUCAUCAUCAACACCCAUUGUUUCCCCGGCUAAGGCCAUACCCUUGUUCAAAUCCAUGGUUCGAUCACCA
rnacentral:misc_RNA from 1 species